GACGAACGCUGGCGGCGUGCUUAACACAUGCAAGUCGAGCGGUAAGGCCCUUUCGGGGGUACACGAGCGGCGAACGGGUGAGUAACACGUGGGUGACCUGCCCUCAGCUCUGGGAUAAGCCUGGGAAACUGGGUCUAAUACUGGAUAUGACUCCACGGUGCAUGUCGUGGGGUGGAAAGCCUUGUGCGGCUGAGGAUGGGCCCGCGGCCUAUCAGCUUGUUGGUGGGGNGAUGGCCUACCAAGGCGACGACGGGUAGCCGGCCUGAGAGGGCGACCGGCCACACUGGGACUGAGACACGGCCCAGACUCCUACGGGAGGCAGCAGUGGGGAAUCUUGCGCAAUGGGCGAAAGCCUGACGCAGCGACGCCGCGUGA
rnacentral:rRNA from 1 species